AGUGAACGCUAGCGGGAGGCUUAACACAUGCAAGUCGUGGGGCAGCACGGGGUAGCAAUACCCUGGUGGCGACCGGCGCACGGGUGAGUAACGCGUAUGCAACCUACCCAGUACAGGGGGAUAGCCCGGAGAAAUUCGGAUUAAUACCCCAUAAUGAUAUUAAGAGGCAUCUUUUAAUAUUUAAAGCUACGGCGGUACUGGAUGGGCAUGCGUAAGAUUAGCUAGUUGGUAGGGUAACGGCCUACCAAGGCUCCGAUCUUUAGGGGUCCUGAGAGGGUGAUCCCCAACACUGGUACUGAGACACGGACCAGACUCCUACGGGAGGCAGCAGUGAGGAAUAUUGGUCAAUGGGCGCAAGCCUGAACCAGCCAUCCCGCGUGAAGGAAGAAUGCGCUAUGCGUUGUAAACUUCUUUUCCGGAGGAAUAAAAUUUUGUACGAGUACAGGACUGAAGGUACUCCGGGAAUAAGCAUCGGCUAACUCCGUGCCAGCAGCCGCCGUAACAC
rnacentral:rRNA from 1 species